UGACCGCUGGCGGCGUGCCUACUACAUGCAAGUCGAGCGACCAGACGCGGAGCUUGCUCCUCUGACGUUAGCGGCGGACGGGUGAGUAACACGUGGAUAACCUACCUAUAAGACUGGGAUAACUUCGGGAAACCGGAGCUAAUACCGGAUAAUAUAUUGAACCGCAUGGUUCAAUAGUGAAAGACGGUUUUGCUGUCACUUAUAGAUGGAUCCGCGCCGCAUUAGCUAGUUGGUAAGGUAACGGCUUACCAAGGCAACGAUGCGUAGCCGACCUGAGAGGGUGAUCGGCCACACUGGAACUGAGACACGGUCCAGACUCCUACGGGAGGCAGCAGUAGGGAAUCUUCCGCAAUGGGCGAAAGCCUGACGGAGCAACGCCGCGUGAGUGAUGAAGGUCUUCGGAUCGUAAAACUCUGUUAUUAGGGAAGAACAAAUGUGUAAGUAACUAUGCACGUCUUGACGGUACCUAAUCAGAAAGCCACGGCUAACUACGUG
rnacentral:rRNA from 1 species